AUUGAACGCUGGCGGCAGGCCUAACACAUGCAAGUCGAACGAGUGGCGUACGUGUGAGUAAUGUCUGGGCCACUGCCUGAUGGAGGGGGUUCACUACUGGAAACGGUAGCUAAUACCGCCUACCAUCGGAUGUGCCCCGAUGGGAUUAGCUAGUAGGUGGGGUAAAGGCUCACCUAGGCGACGAUCCCUAGCUGGUCUGAGAGGAUGAACAGACACACUGGAACUGAGACACGGUCCAGACUCCUACGGGAGGCAGCAGUGGGGAAUAUUGGACAAGGGGCGAAAGCCUGAUCCAGCCAUGCCGCGUGUGUGAAGAAGGUCUUCGGAUUGUAAAGCACUUUAAGUUGGGAGGCGUUACCAACAGAAUAAGCACCGGCUAACUUCGUGCCAGCCGCCGCGGUAAUUC
rnacentral:rRNA from 1 species